AACGUUGCGAACGUAGGCGUGGCUGACGCGGGCUAAAGUGUAGUAUCUGUUAUCCGCUCAAUAUCUGAUACGGGUUCUAUUUGGACCCAAGUUAUUAAACUUAUUUUUGCACGUUGGCGGAGUGUUUGAAGUCUGCUUCACCUCCGCCAUGGUAGGCCCGGUAUUGCACUAUCGCCAGGAUCGGCCCACGGUUU